GCUGAUUUCAAUUGCCAUAUCCCAAUUUCUUCGAAGAGACGAUUCUAUCACUAGAGUAGACUUCAUCCUUCAACCAUGAGAGCUAAGUGGAAGAAGAAGCGUAUGAGGAGAUUGAAGAGGAAGCGCCGAAAGAUGAGGCAGAGAUCCAAGUAGUCUCCCCAAUUCCCAGCGUUUUUGUUUUCGUAUUUUGUUUCUCGAAUUUUGUUAUAUCAUACUAGUUGGUUAUGAACUACAUGAUUUUGGAUCUACUAUUUAAUCAAUUGAUGCUUCGUUGAUAAUAA